CCCUUUCAGCUACAGGGGAGCGCUCCUGCGCGACAGUGGUAAACUGCUAUGUUCAUUUAAUGGCAAUAUAAAACCAGCUCAGGGAUGCACAUCGAGCGCAUCCUCGAUCGGGAAGAAAUACUCUUAAGGCAGUCAGGUUGUCCCUUCUGGAAAAUGAAGACGAAAACAUCCCGUAGGAAGAGGAAAUGCCCGCAGGACCCCUACCGCUACACCCCACGCCCGUGCCGCACUCCUCUGACACCUGGAACCCCAGCCUCAAGCCCAG
rnacentral:lncRNA from 1 species